UACAGAAAGAGCACCACCUGAGAAGAAUCAGGUGAUUCCAGCAUGGAGGCUGUGGGGAUGUGGGGGCAUCCAGGAAACUGUGGUUAUGCCUGCAGUGAGUAAGAAGGCUUCUUCAGGUCCUUGAGUCAGCAGAGGGGAAUAUACCAGCAGGCAAGGCUUGUGAAGAAGGACAAACUCCAGGUCGGGGGAACUGGGAGGCAGAAAAACAGACCCUCAGGGAGGAGAGGCUGUGCCCAGCAGGGUUUUAAAAAGAAGCAGACCAGCUUGGUGGGCUACGUGCCAUGCUCUACCAAGAGGGGGCCAGCGUACAGUUUCUCAUCUGUCUCUCCCUCUACAAGCAGACCAUCUCAGUAGAGGCUCUCCUCUCUCAAGAAGAGCUUUCGCUGCUCAACAGUGACACCUGCUGGAUCAUCGAGAGCAUUGUUAGUGGAGUUAAUGGCUGAAGACUGGAGGAUAACAUGGUGUUGGCAUCUGAUCCUUUGAGCUCAAAAGGGAUCCUGGUGAAAUCCUGAUCAAAUGAAGUAAGAAUCUGGCUGAACUAACCCCAGCGAAUGCACUGAUACAGGAUCUUCAUCUCAUUCACUGGGAUAUCCUGUUGGCAAGGGCAAUCUUAAAGAAGUUACUAAAUUCUGGUCACAGUCCAAUGAAAAAAAAUUACAAAUGUUUAAUACAGGAUAAAUCAACCACUGUCAUCAAACACAACAGCUGUGCACACAGUCUAACAGAGACUGAUAAUGUUUUUGGAGAAGAUGAAUGUGGUGGCAGAAAGAUGAAACACCAACUGUUUAAGCUUCUGAAAUCAAUUAGACGUUACAGUCAAUCCAGCCUUUCAGGAUGUACAGUGGAGUCGUUCUUGUAGCAAAGCCUCUGAAGAAAAACUUCAGUAUCAGAAGAAGUUCCCUAUAAACCAAUAUUCUGAUUUUUGACUUUGCUACGCAUUGAAACAUGGCAUUAGAACUAGAGAUGAGCAAACUGUUCUGAGUGAACAACACAGCCCCUGGAUUGAUUGUGUGUAUUGUGGUGGGGAGAGUGGCCCCAAAUCAGGACUAGCUUCUCCACUUUGCUAGGGGCUGUCUCGGAACAUGGUAAGGGGCAGUCUUUGCCCCAAAGAGUUUCUAACCUCUUUUUAACCCUUCAUUUUCUGCUCGCCACAUCU